GCAUGUGCCAAUUGUUGCACUUUAUUUGCUGUAAAAGGAGUUCCUUGAUCAGAAGAAAUGCUAUAUGGAACAAUAUGAUGGUAUAUAAGGCAUUCUGUAUGCACAAGGAUGAUAGUUUGGUAGAAGUAUUGCACUCAGAGAAAUCAAAUCCAUGUCCAAAGUGUCUGUUCCAAUAAGAGCAAAGUGCUGCCCCUUCCACAAUGGAAGCAGUCCAGUAUAAUCAAACUGGUGCCAUAUUGGGAGCUCAAUAUUGCUCUCUUCUGCUCAUGGAUUGGGCACUCAGUAGCAACCAUAGCCAAGUUGGCCUUAAUGAGAAGUCCAUGUUCCAUGUUGUUGAGCUCAUACAUAACGUAUGAAUUUAGGAUCAGUCUUUCCAGUUUGGAAAAAAAGACUAUUGGAAUUUUUAUGGGGAUUGCAUUGAAGCUAUACAUUUCUUUAGGACAUACUGCCAUCUUAAGUCUUCUAAAGCAUGAACGUGGGAUAUCAUUCCAUUUAGUUGGGUCUCCUUUAAUUUCUUUCAGCAGUGUUCUGUAUCUUCUUGAAUUUGAUGAGACUUGUUUUGUGGCCUAACAUGUGAUCUAUGAUGGAGAAUGCUCCAUAUGCUCUGGAGAAGAAUGUAUAUUCUGCUGCUGCUAGAUGGAAUAUUUUGUAUAUGUCUGUUAGGCCCAUUUGGUCUAUAAUGUUGUCCAAUUCCACUGUUUUCUCAUUGAUUUUCUAUCUGGGUUAAACAUUGUUGAAAGUAGAGGAUUGAAGUUCCACCAUUGUAUUUCUCUCCCUUCAGAUCUGUUAUUUUUUCAUAUAUUUAGAUGCUCUGAUGUUAGGUGCAUAUAUAUUUACAACUGUUAUAUCCUCUUGAUGAAAUUACACCUUUAUCAUUAAUGACCUUGUCUUUCAUAACUGUUUUUGAGUUAAAGUCUAUUUUAUCCAAUGUAGGAAUAGGUACCCCUGCUCUCUUGGUUUCCACUUACAUGAAAUAUCUUUUUCCAUCUCUUCAUUUUCAGCCUAUGUGUAUCCUUAAAGCUUAGGUGAGUCUCUUGUAGGCAGCAUAUAGUUGAGUCUUGUUUUUUUUUUAACCCAUUUAGCCACUCUAUGACUUUCUAGUGGAUAAUUUAAUCCAUUUACAAGUAGCAUAUUUUUUUGAUAGAUGAGGACUUACUAAUGAUAUCUUAUUGUUUCCUGGGUCUUUUGUAGUUCCCUUAUUUCUUUCCUUUUAUCUUGCUGCCUUCAUGAACUGAUGAUUUUCAAUUUUGAUAUGCUUUGAUUCUCUUCUCUUUAUCUUUUGUGUACCUAUAGGUUUCUGCUUUGCAGUUACCAGGAGGUUUACAUAAAAUAGUUUAGAGAUAUAGCAGUCCAUUUUACACUGAUAAUGACUUAUCUUCAAUCACAUACAAAAACUCUACCUUUUUAGUCCUCCCUUUUAUGUUUUUGUUAUCACAGUUUACCUCUUUUUAUAGAUGUAUUCAUAAAUUAUUGCAGGUAUAAUUAUUUUUAAUACUUUUGCUCUUCAACAUUUAUACUAGAGCUAAGUGGUUAACACACACUAUAAAUAGUAUUAGAGUAUUCUGAUUUUGACCCAAUACUUACCUUUCCAUGUAUAUUUUCAUGUUACUAAUUCACAUCUUUUUAUGUUUUAAAGUUAUUAAUUAGCAUCUUUUCAUUUCAGCUUAAAUAACUUCCUUCAGCAUUUCUUACAAGUCUGGUGGUGAUUGACUCUCACCAGCUUUUGUUUGGGAAAGUGUUUAUAUCUCCUNUUUUUUGCUUUUUCAGGGCUCCACUUGCAUCAUGUGGAAGUUCCCAGGCUAGAGGUCUAAUCAGAGCUGUAGUUGCCAGCUUAUACAACAGCCACAGCAAGGCCAGAUCCUAGCCACAUCUGCCACCUACAUCACAGCUCACGGUGACAUCAGAUUCUUAACCCACUGAGCAAGGCCAGGAAUUGAACCCACACCCUCAUGGAUACUAAUUGGGUUAUUUCCACUGUGCCACAAUGGGAACUCCUGUAUCUCCUUGAUUUUUGAAAGACCACUUUGCCAGUUGGAUAUUACUGGUUGGGAGGGUUGUUUAUAUCAAUUGUAUAUAUUUUCUUUCAGUGGUAUAUAUUUCACUUUGAAUACAUAACUCUCUCCUGGCCUAUAAAGUUUCUGCUGAAAAAUCUGCUGAUAGACUUAUGGGAGUUCUUUUCUAAGUUAUAACCUCUCUUGCUGCUUUUAAGAUUCUUUUUGUCUUUAAUUUUUGACAGUGUCUUGGAGAAUAUCACUUUAAGUUGAAAUUGUUUGCUGACCUAUGAGCUUCAUGAAAUAGAAAUUCAUAACUUCAAAUCUCUACCCAGAUUUAGGACAUUCACAACCAUUAUUUCUUUCUUCCCUGUUCUACACCUCUCUUCUCCUUCUGGGACUCCAAUCAAUAAUUCACAGAUUGGUCCUUUUUAUGAUUAAUUUUGGCCAAUUUCAGCUCUUGGCACAGUAGCAGCUACUCAUUUUCAUUCCCUCAUCCACAGCCCUCUGGCAGGCAACUAUGCAUAUCUUCUAGAAACAACCUGUACAAAACUUGCAGGAGCCAGGAUGGGGGGUGGGGAGCCCCUGCCCUCUGAUUAUCAGGGAUCCAUGCUUUGACUACUGACUGAUCACAGAGGUGUAGAAAAGGGGUAGAACCAUUUUUGUUCUACCACCUCCCAUUGUCAGAAGCCUCUCUCCCUCUGGCUAAAGUGACUUCUAGUGGAUAUUAAGAGCCAGUGCCCCUUUUUCCCUCUUCAUUUUUCUCUAUUUCCCCUUUUACAAACCAGACAUUAAAUACAAUUUUCCUACAGAGGUAACUGCAACUAUGGAGGAAAUGAGAAGGUGACUGUGUACCUAUGGAGGAAAUGAAAAAGCAACUGUGCACCUACGGAGGAAAUGAGAAAGCAACUGUGCACGCCCAGGAAAGACAUGAGAAUACAUGAGAAAACCUUAUGUUUAUACCACAGGCUAAUCCUUAACACAAAAAUAACCUGCAACAAAUUAAAGACAAAGAAAAAUAAUAAAUAAAAACAAUUUUUUAUAAACUAGCAAACCCCUGGGGAGGGGGAGAACCAUGUCUGUGUUUACAUUAGACUCAAAUGCCCAGCUGUCAACAAAAUACACAAAAGAAAUAGAAAAUUAUGACCUGUUCAAAGGAAACAAACAAACAGAAACUAUCCCUGAAAAAGACCUGGGAGGCAGACCUCCUAGAAAGACUUUUCAUAUGACUCAUUUUUUUGUGAUAUUCACUUUACUGUAGCACUCCAGAAUUGAACCCACAAUAUUUCUGAGGUAUGCCUGUACUUUAAAUGUAAAUGUAUUAAACUUUCCAAUCAAAAGACAGAGAUUGGUAGAAUGAAUUUAUGAAAUCAUCCAGCCAUAUGUUAUCUAUAAUUGACUCAUUUUAGAUCCAAAAGUUCAAACAGACUGAAAGUGAAAGGAUGGGAAAAGAUACAUAAUGCAAAUAAUAACCAAAAGAAAGUAUAACAAAAUAACUUUACAUUUAUAAGAGACAAAGAGACAAAGUAUACAUUAAUACUAGGUUCAAUAUAGCAUGAAGAUACAACAAUAAUGAAUACCUGCACACCUAAUAACAGGCCAUCAAAAUAUAAGAAGAAAAGCUGACAAAAUUAAGGGGAUAAAUAGACAGUUCUACAGUAAUAGUUGGAGAUUUCAAAAGAAAAUAAGGAAAUCAAAGACUUAAACAGCACAAUAGCCAACUAGGUUUAAAAGACAUAUACAGAAUACUCUACACAACAACAUACACAUUCUUCUUAAGUGCACACGGCACACUUUCCAGGAUAGACAACAUCCUAAAUCACAAAUAACAUCUCAGUAGUUAAAAAGAUAGAUAUUAUACAAUGUAUCUUCUCCAAUCACAAUAGGAUGAAGUUAAAAAUAAGUAACAGAAUUAAUUUGGAAAAUUCACAAGUUUGUGGAAAUUAAACAACACAAUUGUUGGAACCCUUAUGGAUCAUUGUUGGGAAUGUAAAAUGGCAUGGCAAAUCCUUAAAAAUCUUUGAAUAGAAUUACCACAUGACCUAGAAAUUCCACUUCUGGGUAUAUACCCAGAAGAACUGACAGCAGGAUCUGAAAGAUAUAUUUGUAAUUCCAUGUUCAUAGGCAGCACUGUUCACAGUAACUAAAAUAUGGAAGAAAUCCAAAUAAGCAUUGACAGAUGAAUAGAUAAGCCAACUGUGGGGUAUAUACAUACAGUGGAAUAUACUCAGCCUUAGAAAGACAGGAAAUUCUGACCUAUGCUUCAACAUAGAUGAACCUUGAGGACAUAAUGCUAAGUAAAAUAGGCCAGUCACCAAAAAAAAAAAACAAAUAGUGUAUGGUCCACUUAUAUAAUGUACUUAGAGUAGUCAAAAUCAGAGACAGAAAAUAGGUAGAAUGAUGGCUGCCAGGGGCUAGAAAAGAGAGGGAUAGGGAGUUAGUUUUCAUUUUACAAGUUUUAUAAGUUAUGAAGAUAGAUGGUGGUGAUAAUUGUACAUUAGUGAUGUAUGUACUACUGCUGACCUGCACAAUUAAAAAUGACUUAAGAUGGUAAAUAUUAUAUUUUGUGACUUUACCACAAUUUUAAAAAUGAGGGAAUUCCAAUUUCUGAUUCCACAUAUAAUGAGUUUUGAAGUCACCAUUCUGUCCUAACAAUACAUAAAAAGCUGAACAGACUGAAAAAUCAAAAACUCUUCUUGGACCCACGAGAAGAGAAGACAUAGGGUAAACUGCUGUUCCCAAGACUGCAAAGACAGGCAAAUAGAGGGAUAUGCAGUAUACAGGAGCAGAGACUCACAAGUGGAAAAUAUUGAUUAAGCCAGUGCCAGGUAGGAAAUACUGAACUGUAAUUGAUGAAUUGCUGAAGGCUGAGUGUAGACAACACUGAGAGUUAAAAACUGCAGCAGGACUAGUCAUAAGUGGGCUGCCCACAAUACUGUGAGAUUUACCUGCAGAACCUCGACCAGAUUCCCAUAGUAAAUACUGGAGAAAAAUUCUCCGACUUCCAGCAGAAGGUGGGGGAAAAGGACCAUUUUGAAAUAAGAGCACUCUUUCCUUAAUAAAGUCCACCCUAAGGGGAAAUCUAGUUAACCAGAGUCUAACUUUAUAGGGUAUUAUUAGAACCUAAGUGAUCUGGGGAAGGGAAAUACCCAUUUUCAGCCCUCUCUAGCUAUCCAAUCAAACCAAUAAAACACUUGUGAAGUUCACAGUCCUGAGACACAGGCUCACUAAAAGACUGCGACUUAGUCAUAAAGCUACAAAAAGCUUCCCUUCCCCCUCACACCUCACCACCACAUUACUGAAAGCCACUCUGCAGCAGUGCCCUUUACUCCACACAUCAUGACUGGCUAUUAAGAAAAAAUUAGAAGGCAUACCAAAAGUCGAAAAACAUAUUUUGAAGAAACACAGCAAGCAUAAAAACCACACAUGGAAGGGGUAUUGGCAUUUUUUAGGAUGAGAAUUUAAAAUAAUUUUGAUUAAUAUGCUAAGGACUAUAAAGGAUAAAUUUGGCAGAAUGCAAGAACUGAUGGGCAAGCAAUGUAAGCAUUGCUUCAGUAUUGAUUAGCGAUAAAAAUCCUAAGAAAGAACUCAUAUCUAUAUAAGGAAGAACACUCAAGAAGGAAUUAAUGAAACUGACCAAAAUUAGACAAAGAGAAAAUCUUGAAAGCAGCUAGGGAAAAGAAACAAAUCACACAAGGGAACCCCAAUAAAGUUAUUAGCAUAUUUUUCAGCAGAAACUCUGUGGCUAGAAGGAAGUGGUAUGAUAUACUUAAUGUGAUGAAAGGAAAAAACCUCCAAUCAAGAUUACUUUACCCAGGAAGGCUCUCAUUCACAUUUGAAGGAGAAAUCAAAACCUUCACACAUAAGCAAAAGCUGAGAGAAUUCAGCAACACUAAACCAGCCUUACAACAAAUACUAAAGGAACUUCUCUAGGCAGAAAAGACAGCAACAGGUAACAAAAAUACCACAAAUGACAAGGCUCAGCAGUAAAGGUAAAUAUACAGUAAAGAUACAAAAUCAUCCAUGCACAAUUAUACUACCAAAUUCAGAAAGCAUGAGAAGAAGUGGGUACAAAUGGAGGACACUGGAGAUGAACUUGCAAUUAAGAGAACAACAACUUAAAACAAUCUCAUAUACAUAUAGAAUCGUAUAUCAAAACUUCAGAAUACCUGCAAACCAAAAAUCUAAAACUGAUACACAAAGAAAAAUCAACUCAAAUACAACACUAAAGAUAGUCAUCAAUCCAGAAGAGGAGAGAACAGAGAAGAAGGACAGAAAACAGAGCAACAAAAACAAAUCCAAAGCAAUUAAUAAAAUGGCAAUAAGAACAUACAUAUCAAUAAUUGCCUUAAAUGUUAAUGGGCUAAACACCCCAGCCAAAAGACAUAG
rnacentral:lncRNA from 1 species